GGGUCCCGGGGAGGCCGCUGGGGAGGGAGGCUCGGCGCCCUGCGGAGGGUCGCUGAGCCGAGGACGUGCCGCGGGGAAGGGCCCGACCCCUCGGCAGGAGCGCCCCGAGUGUGGCCCUCCGCGCAGUCCCUGGUCCCGGUUUUUAGGGUUCGGGUUUUUUUUUAUGAGCCCCUUUAUAUUUCAUAUUUAAAAGGGGAAAGGCGUCUUCCCACACCACCUCCUCCGCUUUUUUAUUUUUUGGGGUCUACGUUACCCAGAAGGCUCAUGAUUUAUCAGUGACGGAGAAUUGUUCUAAUUAAAUGUAGUUGUUUUUGGAGGAUGGAUGGGUGGAGAGAUCCUCUACUAUUGAGAUUUCAGUCGCUUUUUGAGGCGUCCGCCAGGAAAGCUCCAAGAAACAGCAGCCAGCAUCGGGCAGAGCUGGAUUGCAAAAUUUGGGGGCAGAGCGGUGUGUGCACGGAAAAAAAAUGCUGCUAUGAAGACAUAAUUAUAUCUCUCAUAUAAAUGAAGCUACUACUGUCAUGAUUUUAGUGCUGCAGAAAGGAUGAACUUCAGUGGACAAGAGGGCAUUUUGAGGGGUAGUAGGAUGCUUGAGGCCUGGAAUUUAAAUUUGAGCUACUUCCUGAAGCUCUUAAAUACUAGAAGAAAAUGGAAUUGAAUAUGAUGUCAGCAUGGAACAGUCUAAUGAUUCAUUAAUAGUCAACCAUAAUGAUUCCGAAGAUUCAAAAACAGAUUCUCAGCAUUCAACCUGUAUCGACUCCAGGGAUCCUUCCUUUGAACAAAAUAGUUCUGAUAGAGUUUUACCCAUCACUACUCAUGAAGCAGAUAAUUCACUCACAUCACAGAAUAUACCAGGGCCCCUGACUCAGGCACAGACUCUUUCUGCAGAGCAAUUUCACCUAGUGGACCAAAAUGGGCAACCUAUUCAAUAUGAACUUCAGUCAUUGGAGGAUUCUAAUGCACAAAUGAUGAUUGUUGCCAGCUCAUCAGAAAAUGGACAGAUGCUUCGUGUAAUUCCAUCUACCCAGACAGGAAUGACACAAGUGAUUAUACCUCAGGGGCAACUUGUGGAUAUGAAUAGUCCUCAGGAUGCCUCUGAAGAGAAACCCAGCAACAGAAACUUACCAACUGCAAGACUGGAUGCUCUCGCCGACCAUAACAGUAGUUAUAUUCUGCAUCCACAAGCAUCCCUCACAUUGCCCCAAAAGACAGUGACCAGAUUGCUUGAAGAACCAUUUCUGGCUCCUCUCCAGCCACUUUCUUCUAACACACCUAUAUGGGCCUGCCGUCUUAGGAGUUGUGAGAAAAUUGGAGAUUCAUACCGGGGCUACUGUGUAAGUGAGACUGAAUUAGAAAGUGUUUUAACAUUUCACAAGCAGCAAACACAGAGUGUUUGGGGGACUCGCCAAUCUCCAAGCCCAGCCAAGCCAGCUACACGUUUGAUGUGGAAAUCCCAGUAUGUCCCAUAUGAUGGAAUUCCAUUUGUCAAUACAGGGAGUAGAGCCGUGGUAAUGGAGUGUCAGUAUGGGCCAAGGAGAAGAGGUUUCCAGUUAAAAAAGAUCAGUGAGCAGGAAAGCAGGCCUUGUCACCUCUACAAAGCCACUUGUCCAGCCCGAAUUUACAUUAAAAAGGUACAAAAGUUUCCUGAAUAUAGAGUUCCUACAGACCCCAAAAUUGAUAAGAAAAUUAUACGAAUGGAGCAAGAGAAAGCCUUUAACAUGCUAAAGAAGAACUUGGUAGAUGCUGGUGGUGUUUUUAGGUGGUACGUACAGUUACCUACACAGCAAGCUCAUCAGUAUCACGAAUUGGAGACUCCCUCCCUCCCUUUGUCACCUUCCCCUUUUCCUGUGUCCUCUAUGGAAGAAGAGGAAACUGCAAUUAGGGAUGAGAAUUGUACAUUACCCUCACGUCUACAUCCUCAAGUAGCACAUAAGAUUCAAGAAUUAGUAUCACAAGGAAUAGAACAAGUGUAUGCAGUAAGGAAACAUCUAAGAAAAUUUGUGGAAAGAGAACUGUUCAAAUCUGAUGAGGUACCUGAAAGACAUAAUUUAUCCUUUUUUCCAACUGUAAAUGAUAUAAAAAAUCACAUCCAUGAAGUACAGAAAUCCUUGAGAAAUGGAGAUAAUGUAUCUAACUCAGAGAUUAUUCCAGCAACGCUUCAGUGGACUACAGACAGUGGGAAUAUUCUCAGAGAGACUGUGACAGUAACAUUUGCAGAAGGAAAUUCACCAGAAGAAUCGUCUACCACCAAAGUGGAAACAAAUCAGACAAGGGGUUCUUUGUCUCCAGAAUCAGCCCAUUUGCUCUCCUCCUCACAUUCUUCAUUUCAGCCAAAAAUAUUCACACAACUACAGGGUUUACAGUUGCAACCAAGAUUCACUUCUCCUGAUGGAUCACCGGCUCUGAUAUCAGUAAAUGACCACCUCUCCUCUAGUCCUUCAAGACUUCUGGAUUCAAUACGAAGUACUGUAAUAAAUAAUAAUUCUCUACAGUGUGGUCAGAGUCAUGGCCUUCAAACAGAUACAUGCCUUACCCCAAACAACAGUAUUGCCUCUACCAUGGGUAACCUUCCAGCACCAGAUCAAAAUGUGGCUGCAGUGGAUCAGCUGGUGGACGUUGGAGAUGCUGAGGAUACAGAGAAUCUGGAAGGAAGUGUUCAUCGGUUUCUGUUGGGAAAUGUACAGACCAUUCCAAUACAAAUUAUAGACAGCCACCCACCUCUUAUUGAAGAAAACCCAGAAGGUACCAUUUCUGUGAACCAAGUUAAACAGGAACCCAAAGAACCAGCAUUGUCUAUGGAAGCAAAAAAAAUUUUUGGACUAUAAGAAAUUAUCUGCUACAUAAAUUGUUGAAGCUUUCCAGAACUGUACAACUCUGGUGACUUCUGAUGUCAUAGAAAAGAAGGUAGAAACUGGAACUAUCAAUAUUUUCAUGUUAUUUUGAAGGUAUUUUAAAGGAGCCAGCAUUUGAUGAUCUUGGAGGUCCUAUAAAAAUCUGGUCAACUUGGAAAUAGCGUGCUUCCUGAGGCCCUUUGAGUCUCCUGCACAGGGUCUCUCCAAUGAUGAUGGUAAGAGUGAGGAAGUGAAAUAUAGAAACAUCAAUGAGAGAGAUGAACGGGUACCUCCUGCACACCCCCUCGUGGGGGGUGGAACCCGCAACCUGGGCAUGUGCCCCGACUGGGAAUCAAACCGGUGACCUUCUGGUGCAUGGGCUGACACUCAACCAACUGAGAGCCACACUGCCGGGCAAACCAGAAAAGAUUUAAUGGUGGCAAGGAUACCCCCGAGGUUCUUGGACUGACCAGCUGGAAGAAUGGAACUGCUAAUGACUAUAAUAGCAAGAGGAAUUCCUUACCGUCCUUCUGAGCCGCACAUGACUGUUAGCCAGCCAAGGAGAGAUGCUGAAAAGGCAUAAUUUGCAAACAACUACUCUAUUUACUCCCAACUCAGUCAUCUUGGAGGGAAAGUAGCUAUUAAUAGUAAAGGAAUGGGUAUGGCUCUAUCCCAACCAUCUUUACAACACUGAAACUUGAAUUUCACCAAUUUUUCAUGUGUCAUGAAUUAUCCUUAUUUUGAUUUUUGUUGUCAACAAAACCAAAAAUAUUUACUCUCUGGCUUUUACAGUUUGCUGACUGCUGGUAUAUAUGAAACAAGAUGGGACAUUAGUUGAUAAUUUUUAAAGAUUGGCAACGGUAUGUACAUGGGGUUUCAUUAUAUUAGUUUACUUUUGUAUAUGCUUGACAUUUUUCAUAAUAAAACGUUUGAAAAAUG